CUUCUCCCUCUCCCUCAGCCUUUUUUUUCUCUCUCUCCUCUCCCUCUCCCUCAGCCAAUUUUCGACCUCCUCUCUCUCUCUCUCAGAUUUCUCUCUCUCUCGGAUUCUCUCUCUAGCUCUCGCUGAUUCUUCCUCUCGCCUCCUCCCUCUCGUCGCCUGUGGUUGUGCGAGUUUAGACGAGGGCUUUGUUUGAGUUGUCGAGAGUUGUGGUGCGAAGAGUUCCGACGAGGGUUGCGAGAGAGUUGUUCGAGGGUCGUGCGAAGUGUGUGUGUGGUUCGAGUGUGCGAAAAAGAGUGCUCGAGGGUGUUGUGCGAAGUCGUGCGAGCGGUUCCGAGUCGUGCGAGUGUGGUGGCGCGACAGAUCUGAGUCGCGCGAGUGUGGUUGGGCGACGAAACGAAGGGGGGUGCGAAGGCGUUCGUCGAGGCUGUCUGUGCGAGCGACGAGGGUCGCAGCUGGUGUGGGUGUCCGUGCGCGACGAGCGAAGGAAGCUCGAGUGGUUGCGCGACGGUUUCGGUUUUGUGCGCGGAAGUGGUGCGCGGGUGUGGUGUGGUGUUUCGGUCGCCGGAGUUCUUUUGCCGACGAGUUUUAGCGGUCCCAAUUUCAUAAGCGGCUCGUUCAAUUAAGACAGCGAAAAUUCUCCGCUACAAGACUAGUUGUGCUGGUGCUGCUGCAUGAUAUCAAGCAUACGGGCGGUUAGUCUGUAGUUUUGAAGUUAAACAUUUGGAUUAAGCAUUACUGGAUUUUAUAGACGUUAUUAAAUGGUUUGAGUUUGAAUAAAAGGGGUCAUCUAUGAUUCUCGAGUUGUAUUUACAUUUUUAAUUCCGCUGCAACUUGGUUUUGAGAC